AUGGCCGCGGCGCGCCCCGGAUCCCCUGCCCCCAGACGGCUGCCCCCCUCCACGCUCCUCCUCCUGGCCGCCGUCCUCCUCGCGGCCUCGCCGCCGGCGCGCGCCCUCCGGUUCGACCUCGAGUCCGGCCACACCAAGUGCAUCUCCGACGAGAUCAAGGUCGACUCUAUGGCCGUCGGCAAGUACAGCGUGGUCGCCCCCGACCCCAGCUACCCCGACGCACAGCUCCCCGAGUCGCACCGCGUCUCCCUCAGGGUGACGUCGCCGUACGGGAACAGCAUGCACUACUCCGAGAACGUGCAGUCGGGGCACUUCGCCUUCACGGCGGUGGAGGCCGGGGACUACCUGGCCUGCUUCUGGGCGCCUGACCACAAGCCACCCGUCACCGUCACCUUCGAGUUCGACUGGAAGAGCGGCGUCACGGCCAAGGACUGGUCCAACGUCGCCAAGAAGGGCAAGGUCGAUAUGAUGGAACUAGAGCUGAAGAAGCUAGAGGAUACCAUCAAAUCUAUUCACGAGGAAAUGUUUUAUCUACGUGAAAGGGAGGAGCAAAUGCAGAACAUCAACAGGCAGACGAACUCGAGGAUGGGGUGGCUGAGUUUCCUCUCACUUGGCAUCUGCUUAUCCGUGGCAGGGCUGCAGCUGUGGCAUCUGAAGACCUUUUUCGAGAGAAAGAAGUUGCUGUAG
rnacentral:rRNA from 1 species